GUAACAUGCUAUUAGGAGAAUGACAGUUCAUAACAGAAACAGCAUUAAAUAAGAAUUAUUAUUUUGCAGACACAAAGCAAUGAGGAGCAGCCUGGACAACACAUUUGAUCUUCAGUGGCUUUACAAAGGACCAAGUGAUGGCAGAACUGAAGCCAUAUGCCUCAAAAGAGAAAGGUACAGCAAAGCUCUUCAGAAUGCUAUUCAAUAUAGAAGAGAUUAAAGGCCGCUCAUUGUUUGGUAUGAGGAAAGGGAACAGAGAGUCUGACGCCAGACCUUCUUGUGCAGACAAGGCAAAACUUAAGUUCUUGGAAGAUUGUGCGCUCGAAAAGUUGCCGACAACCUAAGGACUGAACUCAAACCGUCCAGGAAUAGCAAGAUAAACUGAAGAAAAUAAAUGGACUAAUGUUUUGCUAUUUUUUGAGACAAUAUAUAAUUUCAUAUGGAAACAUUAAAAAGGAUUAUUAUA